CAAUGGAAAUAACUCAAAAGAUGCCAACUUCGAAUAAGAGGACUUACCUUUCAUGCCUCCCACCACCGCUCUGCGCACCACCUGCCUUCCAGGUAUGCCCCGGAAUCUAUGUUCCCAGAGGUAUCCGUGAACAACUCGAUACCACCCGCAAAGGCUCCACAAGUAGCCUUCUCCAUGAAAUGGCUACCGACCCAGUCCUCGCGACUAACCCGACAUGCAACUUGAAACUGCCUUAUGAACAACUGCAAUUUCUCAGUGACCUUCUUGGACCUGCGAACCUUCAGCCUGAACUCCCGAAGUGCAGUCAACUGAACCCCAGGCAAUCGAC